ACUAUAUUAAACCUUAACAAACAUCUUUUUUCUCCUAAUUUUGGAUUCUUGUUGUGAUUACCCUGCAGCUGCCACGUACUUGGUUUUCAUGUUGAUUUUCGUUCAUUUUUUCUUGUGUGCAGUUUGGGUGCCAUCUAAAAAAAUUUGUGAAGGCUUCCAGAGUUUUGUUGGUACACUAUUUUUGUGGCUUUUGCUGAUUCGGUCAGCUCAUCAGUUUCAGAUUUUGUCUCGCAUCCGCGUGGUGGAGUUAUCCCUGCCGCACCGCUUUUGACCUCUCUUAUUCUAGGCGUGUCUCUGUUUCCUCUAGAAAACUCUUCUCGAGUCCCACGCACCACACCCUGCCAUCAUCUUCCUCUUCGUAUAGUCUCUCCUCACUACCCAUCCCCGGAUUCUUUCCCGCACAAGCCCUCCAGUGGCCGGCGGCCUGCGUUCUCAGGUUCUCGGACGAUGUGGUGGUCACCGAGGCGAUUCCAUCGUCCCCCUCCACGGUAGCUCCUCUCCUUGGAUGGUGGCCCUGGAGAUGGUUGUAUGGUUUGCCGGGUGGGUGCACGACGACCACCAGUGCGGGUGGUUGGGGCCUGAACCGAGAUUAGAUGGUUGGCGCCAUGCCCUCCUCCACUUGCCCCUGGCUCGACCCUUUGGCCGGCCCGUGCGGCGGCACACAUGGUAGCAAGGGGCAGCAGGAGCCGGAUACCCGAGCACUAGCCAGCGCUUUGGGUGGGGACGGCGGCAAGUAUGGGGAGGCGCGCCUGGAGAACCUAGGGGAGCUGGCGGCGACGGGAUCGCCCAGGGCGGCGCAGGUGAGCUGGGAUUAAGGCGCCGAGAUUACCCAAGGGAGGCAGCGAGGGGCAGGAAGGUCCAGAUUCGCUCCUCCACGCGAGGCUCCACCCCUGCCCCAAGAUCUGUACGCACUCGCUGAGCUCCUUCCAGACGGUCCGGGCGGCUGCGGCUUUGGGGGACUCAUGGACGGCAAGCACGAUGAGCUUGGCGAGCGGGAAGGAGGAGGCGGCGGAGGGGAGGAGCAUGGUUGGACAGCAUAGACGAAGAUGGAGAUGCGGCCACCGACGAUGACAUCAGCAGAAGGUCGUGGCGUUGCAUCGCAGGCUUGAAAGAAGCCAACAGCAAGACUGCAAGUAAAGUGGCUCACAGAUGGAGAGGGCGUGCGAGACGUCAGUUGCCCCCGCUGCCACCACAGGCCUGCACUGCUAGAUUUCUCCUCUAGCCGUUGUUGCAAUCAUGGCUCUCUUCCCCUGCGAUUUACUCUUUGAUGGGUGCAUCCCAGACUUCCCCUACAAAGAAGGUGGGACGAAAUCCAACCAUGAGGCCAAUAUUUUUUUUUCCGAGAAUGAUGAGGCCAAGAUUUAGAACAGAGAAAGAUGAACAUAAAUAAUCAGGGGAAGGUAGCUAUCUCCAAGGGUGUGACUUUCGAUUCUUCUCAGAAGAAGAGAAGAACAGGUUCGGUAGAAGAUGGCUUGCAGUUGGAAAUUGUGCCCGCGAGGGUGCUAGGAGGUCAUGGGAAGCAAGGCAGCAAUGCUAGCAGUGGAAUGUCCAAGCAAGCGUUGAUGCCAUCUGUGUCUGCAUCUUUCGGGGGACAACUUGCACCUAAGGCAUCAGCUUCGUCCCACAAGCCGUCUGACGUCCUAAUUCACGGCUGCUUUCUUACUUAUCCCGACCUAUCAUGUUUUCUGAUGGCGUCCCAAUUGGUAGUACUGCAUUGGCUCGCGAGAGAGACAACUAACACAGAGCCUCUACGGUUGUGAACAUGAAAGUGCUCUUUGCUACUGCUGCACUUGCCGGCGAGCCAUGAACAAAUACGAUUCAGAGCUUGCCUACUAGGACAUGCUAAUACAACUAUAUUCUCAAGAGUAUGGUACAAGCCAAGGUGGGUCAUUUUGAGCAAUCAUGUUCAGUCUGUCUUGACACAUGGCCGUCACAUCGUUUGCGGCACUUCUUGAUGGGAUCGGAGUGGCGACAGCAAAAAGAUCAAUAGUGGAUCCGUUGUCGAAGGAUAGAAAUAUCAUGUGUGUGCUCAACGACUUGGAAGGGAAGCUUGGGUACUGAUGUGCUAAGCUGAGAUGCGGAAGCAGCCUAGGUACUCAUGAGCUGAGCUGAGAUGCGGAAGGACAAUCUUAGAACUAGGGCCAAGAUGUGUAUAUAAAGGGAACCAACAGAUAGAUGUGUAGCAUUUUUGGCUUCCUCUUUUCAUGCCAAAAAAUGUUCACAUGCGAUAUUAACCUGUGAUGCCAUUUCCAAUAGAAAAUUUUCAUUGCAAUUAGGUUGAUUUUAGCAUGUAACACAACAUACAAGCUUAUUUCAGCGAAAUGCUUCAUGGUACUUGUUUAUGUUUCUUCUCAAAAAAUUUA